CAGCCGCCGCGGGAAUACGUAGGUGGCAAGCGUUGUCCGGAAUUAUUGGGCGUAAAGGGCUCGCAGGCGGUUUCUUAAGUCUGGUGUGAAAGCCCCCGGCUCAACCGGGGAGGGUCAUUGGAAACUGGGAAACUUGAGUGCAGAAGAGGAGAGUGGAAUUCCACGUGUAGCGGUGAAAUGCGUAGAGAUGUGGAGGAACACCAGUGGCGAAGGCGACUCUCUGGUCUGUAACUGACGCUGAGGAGCGAAAGCGUGGGGAGCGAACAGGAUUAGAUACCCCAGUAGUCCCUGUCUCUUAUAC
rnacentral:rRNA from 1 species